UACAGAGGGUGCGAGCGUUGUCCGGAAUCACUGGGCGUAAAGGGCGCGUAGGCGGCCUGAUAAGUAGGGGGUGAAAUCCUGUGGCUUAACUGCAGGGCUGCCUCCUAGACUGUUAGGCUCGAGCACGGUAGAGGCAGAUGGAAUUCCCGGUGUAGCGGUGGAAUGCGUAGAGAUCGGGAAGAACAUCGGUGGCGAAGGCGGUCUGCUGGGCCGUUGCUGACGCUGAGGCGCGACAGCGUGGGGGAGCAAACAGGAUUAGAAACCC
rnacentral:rRNA from 1 species